GCGGAUCUAUGUACAAGCAGUACACGAUUCUAGACAAAGUGGGACCCGCGGCGGAGUAAUUCUCUCGGGAUAGUUUCUCCCCGUUGUAGAUAGCUUCCCCUUUUUGGGGAAACAGUCUCGGCAAGGCUGGGUGUGGGUAUAUAUUUAGUGCGGCGGAUCAUGGGGGCAGAGAUGAAGUGGGGGCACUAGAGAAAAUGCCGCUACUAUCGUAGAACUGUCGACAUUCUGUUCCAGAUUCGAUGCCAUUGGCAGCAUACGGCAGUGCGAAGGAUUUUGACCAUGGUUGUGAUUUCAUCGGAAAGAAAACUGCAUUACCGAAGCAGAUUGCCGUUGCACAACACAACUGUGAUACGCCGUCUUGUGGAAUCUUUACCACAGAACUUCAUGCAACUUCGAAGGAAUGCACCUUUACAGUGAACAUGAAUGUGAGUAGAAGUACGCCGCUGCUUCUUUUAUCAGUCAACAUAUUUAUAAUGGAAUGCUUGUUAAUUUAGAAAAUCGUAAAAAUAUCAUUGGGUAUGUUGAGUAUAAGUAUUUAAUUAUUCAUUUAAAAACUACUCAAACA
rnacentral:lncRNA from 1 species